CUACGGGCGGCAGCAGUGAGGAAUAUUGCACAAUGGAGGAAACUCUGAUGCAGCAACGCCGCGUGGAGGAUGACGCAUUUCGGUGUGUAAACUCCUUUUAUAUGUCAAGAAAAUGACGGUAGCAUAUGAAUAAGCACCGGCUAACUCCGUGCCAGCAGCCGCGGUAAUACGGAGGGUGCAAGCGUUACUCGGAAUCACUGGGCGGAAAGGACGCGUAGGCGGGUUGGAAAGUCAGGUGUGAAAUCCUACAGCUUAACUGUAGAACUGCACUUGAAACUUCUAAUCUAGAGUAUGGGAGGGGGAGAUGGAAUUAGUGGUGUAGGGGUAAAAUCCGUAGAUAUCACUAGGAAUACCUAAAGCGAAGGCGAUCUCCUGGAACAUUACUGACGCUAAGGCGUGAAAGCGUGGGGAGCAAACAGGAUUAGAUACCCCAGUAGUC
rnacentral:rRNA from 1 species